AUUGAACGCUGGCGGCAGGCCUAACACAUGCAAGUCGAGCGGAGCGGCGGAAGGGGGAGUAAUGACUAGGAAUCUGCCUGGGAGUGGUGGAUAAAGUUCGGAACCGGGCGCUAAUACCGCAUCCUCUCAGAUGAGGCUAGGUCGGAAUAGCUAGUUGGUGGGGUAAAGGCCUACCAAGGCGACGAUCCGUAGCGGGGCUGAGAGGAUGAUCAGUCACACUGGAACUGAGACACGGUCCAGACUCCUACGGGAGGCAGCAGUGGGGAAUAUUGGACAAUGGGGGAAACCCUGAUGCAGCCAUGCCGCGUGUAUGAAGAAGGCCUUCGGGUUGUAAAGUACUUUUGGCAGGGAAGCGGUAUCUGCAGAAUAAGCACCGGCUAACUACGUGCCAGCCGCCGCGGUAAUUC
rnacentral:rRNA from 1 species